rnacentral:rRNA from 1 species
GACGAACGCUGGCGGCGUGCUUAACACAUGCAAGUCGAGCGAUGAAGCACCUUCGGGUGUGAAUUAGCGGCGAACGGGUGAGGAACACGUGAGAAAUCUGCCUUCAACACUGGGAUAACUCCGGGAAACCGGGGCUAAUACCGGAUAUGAAACCUGCGGGCAUCCGCGGGUUUGGAAAGUUUUUCGGUUGAAGAUGAUCUCGCGGCCUAUCAGCUUGUUGGUGAGGUAAUGGCUCACCAAGGCGACGACGGGUAGCCGGCCUGAGAGGGCGACCGGCCACACUGGGACUGAGACACGGCCCAGACUCCUACGGGAGGCAGCAGUGGGGAAUAUUGGGCAAUGGAGGAAACUCUGACCCGGCGACGCCGCGUGCGGGAUGAAGGCCUUCGGGUUGUAAACCGCUUUCAGCAGGGAAGAAGCGAAAGUGACGGUACCUGCAGAAGAAGCACCGGCUAACUACGUGCCAGCAGCCGCCGUAA